AUGCUGGUGGCCUUCUGGGCUAUAUGGUUAGUUCGGAGGAAGGUCAUCCAUGAGGGCGUCCUACAGAGUCCCCAUGCAACACAUGCUUUCAUAACCAACUUCAUAGCUGAGUUAGCAAGCAUACAGGUUCCGGUGAAAGGAACGAACCAGGUAUCAUCAAACACCAACAGGAGCAGAUCGCAGGGGUGGAUAGCGCCAGCCCAUGGGGUGGCCAAGAUUCAGGUUGACGGGGGCCUUUCACGGAAUGGCAGAGCAGGUGCAGCGGCAACGGUUUGCCGAGAUCAUACAUGUCAGUUCCUUGGCUCGUCGGCAAUGGUUUUUAGCGAUAUUACUGAUCCACCAACUCUCGAAGCGCUUUCAUGCCGGGAAGCUCUAGCCCUUGCACUUGAUCUAUCUUUGGAUCAAGUUAUCAUCGCUUGUGACUGUCAAACAGUUGUCAAAGAAAUCAAGACUUAAACGGAGGGGAAAUACAGUGCUAUUAUCAAGGAGAUUACAGCCCAAGCUCGAGACUUCUAUAGAUGCGAGUUUAUCUUUGAAGGGCGCGAGAGGAAUGUUGAUGCUCAAAAUUUAGCAAAAUUUGCUUCUAGUUUAGAUGUUGGUCGCCACCUGUGGCUGGGUCUUCCCCAUGACCCUUUUGUUAUUCCUGUAAACCGCACUCCUAGUCUAUAA
rnacentral:rRNA from 1 species